rnacentral:rRNA from 1 species
UACGGGAGGCAGCAGUGGGGAAUAUUGGACAAUGGGCGCAAGCCUGAUCCAGCCAUGCCGCGUGUGUGAAGAAGGCCUUCGGGUUGUAAAGCACUUUUGUCCGGAAAGAAAAGCUUAGGGUUAAUAACCUUGAGUCAUGACGGUCCGGAAGAAUAAGCACCGGCUAACUUCGUGCCAGCAGCCGCGGUAAUACGAAGGGUGCAAGCGUUACUCGGAAUUACUGGGCGUAAAGCGUGCGUAGGUGGUUUGUUAAGUCUGAUGUGAAAGCCCUGGGCUCAACCUGGGAAUGGCAUUGGAAACUGGCUUACUAGAGUGCGGUAGAGGGGUGUGGAAUUCCCGGUGUAGCAGUGAAAUGCGUAGAUAUCGGGAGGAACAUCUGUGGCGAAGGCGACACCCUGGCCAGCACUGACACUGAGGGUACGAAAGCGUGGGGAGCGAAACAGGGAUUAGAUACC